UACGUAGGGGGCAAGCGUUGUCCGGAUUUAUUGGGCGUAAAGAGCGUGUAGGCGGUCAGGUAGGUCCGUUGUGAAAACUCGAGGCUCAACCUCGAGACGCCGAUGGAAACCCUCCAGCUAGAGUCCGGAAGAGGAGAGUGGAAUUCCUGGUGUAGCGGUGAAAUGCGCAGAUAUCAGGAAGAACACCCGUGGCUAAGGCGGCUCUCUAGUACGGUACUGACGCUGAGGAGCGAAAGCGUGGGGAGCGAACAGG
rnacentral:rRNA from 1 species